UACGUAGGGAGCAAGCGUUGUUCGGAUUUACUGGGCGUAAAGGGCGCGUAGGCGGCGCGGUAAGUCACUUGUGAAAUCUCUGAGCUUAACUCAGAACGGCCAAGUGAUACUGCAGUGCUAGAGUGCAGAAAGGGCAAUCGGAAUUCUUGGUGUAGCGGUGAAAUCCGUAGAUAUCAAGAGGAACACCUGAGGCGAAGGCGGGUUGCUAGGCUGACACUGACGCUGAGUGCGCGAAAGCCAGGGGAGCAAACGGG
rnacentral:rRNA from 1 species